AAACCUAUACUUUCAGAGAUCAUUUCUAUAAUGACUGACUAGUAAAUGUGCUUUGAAAGUGAUACAUCUCCCUAAUCAUGAUGAAGAACUGUGAUGUAUUCUUCUGAGUGUGAAUCAGAUUCAAGCUAAAGAUUUCUAUCACAUGCUUGAGUUGUUGAUAAACCGUCUCUGUUUCUUAUGGAGCGUGAGUGGAAGAGUACAUGAUCAGAGUGAU